rnacentral:rRNA from 1 species
AUUGAACGCUGGCGGCAGGCUUAACACAUGCAAGUCGAGCGGAGAUGAGGUGCUUGCACCUUAUCUUAGCGGCGGACGGGUGAGUAAUGCUUGGGAAUCUGCCUAUUAGUGGGGGACAACAUUCCGAAAGGAAUGCUAAUACCGCAUACGUCCUACGGGAGAAAGCAGGGGAUCUUCAGACCUUGCGCUAAUAGAUGAGCCUAAGUCGGAUUAGCUAGUUGGUGGGGUAAAGGCCUACCAAGGCGACGACCUGUAGCGGGUCUGAGAGGAUGAUCCGCCACACUGGGACUGAGACACGGCCCAGACUCCUACGGGAGGCAGCAGUGGGGAAUAUUGGACAAUGGGGGGAACCCUGAUCCAGCCGUGCCGCGUGUGUGAAGAAGGCCUUAUGGUUGUAAAGCACUUUAAGCGAGGAGGAGGCUACUGAGACUAAUACUCUUGGAUAGUGGACGUUACUCGCAGAAUAAGCACCGGCUAACUCUGUGCCAGCAGCCGCCGUAA